GGGGUCUUGAGCAAAAGCUGUGAGAAGCCCAGCACAGGAUGGGCAAAGCUUCGGGUUUGAAGCCAGAGGAACUUUAGUCUCCAUGAAAGAGCAAGCGCAGAACGUGCUAGUAAGAGUCUGAGAUUUCUGGCUUCUCCGGGAAUUUACAUCUUGGACCUCCAUGGGGCAUCAAUCUGCUGGAGCUGAGUGGCCAUUUUCCCCUUCCGUUUCCCCAGUCUCCAUGGCUCCUUAUUGUCUAACACCUACUUUACUCACUUAGAUGACCUGCCUAACCCAGGUCUAUAUAAUGAACUCUUUGUCCUCGGGGAAGGAGCCAAGGAGUGGAAGACGACAAUGAGCAGCACCCAACAGGAGAUGACCGUGAUGGUGGACUCGACGGACAAGAGCUAUGUUGAGCAAGGUGCAGACUGCGGCUAGACGUUCUCGUUCAUGGACACGCACAAUCUGAACGGGAGAGUACUGUUGCUCCUGCCCUGUUGGCUUUUUCAUCUCCUUUUUUCUCCUGAUAUGUGUCUUCUUAAAAGUGCCAUUAAAUGGUAAGUUCCCCCAUUUGCCCCAUGGAAAAGGUGUGGAGGGAAUGGGGGCAUGUGUCUUAUCUGUAGCUUCUGACAAAACCAGCUGGUUCUGCUCUGUGUUGGCCUGCAUGUUAGCUCUUGUAGAACAUUCCAUGCAUGAAGUGUGGGUCUGCUCUGCAAUAUUUUGUCAAGCUUUCUGAUCCUGGAGUGUGCACAGUGACUCAUCAGUCUAAAGUUCUGUUUUCUUUUUCCGCUUUGCUUCCAUUUCAUGUAUCAAGUCCACAUUUUCAUUGCUAGCUUUAUAAGCCAAGCCAUUUUGACCAUUUUACUUUUGCUCACAGAACAUUUGUACAGAGUUCAUUUACUUCAUCAUGCAAACUAGUUAGCUUAUCUUUGGAAGAAUACGUGACUGGUUUUAUCAGGUCUUGAUGAAGUUUCAGAUUGAAACUUCUAUAAACGUUAGCACCCAAAAGCUAGAGGGUUCUUACCGCAUAGUUUUGUGAAAGCAAUAUAUCAUUUAGACUGCUUUGUAAAAACAAAACUUUUUGCCUCAUUCCUAUCAGUAUUGCCAGUUUCAUUUAGAUUUGUAAACAUUGAACUUUUCCUCUUUGCUGAGCCAUCGUAAGGAUUAGUGCAGCCAUAGGUUGAGGGGAUGUCAGCAGCAGCUUCUUAGCGUUCUCAGUGACCCUGAUGUAUCCCGUUAGUUCUCCCUCACUUUCUCUCUACCUUCUUUUCCUAAAUGACCACACGAUGGCCACUGAGAUGAGCACUUUGGUGCAUUCCCACACUUAGAAGAAUCACGAGCCGGCUGACGUGCGCUGACAGACUGGGAAGCUUCACCCCGCUAUCCAGGUGGCAGACCGGCGUCAACAUCACACAGAUGAAGUGUUUAGAGGGCUGCGGCUUAAAGGAGGGAUAUGAAGUGACCAUGAGCUUCGGGCCAGGGCUCCUUCUCAGCCCUCCGGGGCCUGAUGCCAGGGACUGUGCUCCCAGCUUAUUCAGCCAGCAGUGGGACCGCAUGAAGGCUGGCAGGAAAGGACCAGACAUUUCAUCCAUGGAUCCAUUUCCUUCCGGCUGUAAGACUUAUUACCUGGAAGCUAAGAAGAUCAGCCCUGAGCAAACGUCUGCUGCCAAUCCUCCUCUUUUUACUGAGGAAGAGUGGCCCUGAGCUAACAUCCGUGCCCAUCUUCCUCUACUUUAUAUGUGGGACACCUACCACAGCAUGGCUUGACAAGCGGUGCCAUGUCCGCACCUGGGAUCUGAACCAGCAAACCCCAGGCCGCCAGAGGGGAACGUGUGCACUUAACCACUGCAUCACCAAGCCAGCCCCAUAUAAUUGUGAUUUUAAUCCUAAUAAUUUUGUGGUAAUUACCUCAGAAAGAAACUGUCCACUUAAAACAAUUUUAGACCAACCAUGAUGUCAUGUGGUGGAGAUAAGACAGCAGUAAAGGGACUGGCUAGUGUCAUGGCUAUGGCAGUUGUUAUUGUCCUGCCAGCCCAGAGAGCGUGUUGCUGUGCUGGGAUCUAGCACGGACAGCUUUCGGGGGCAUUUCCAGGAGCAGUGAUGUUCUCUCACCAUAUUUAAAAUGGAGGGCCCACCCCUUUCACAGCCUCUGUCAUUAGCUAAUGCUGUUGGAAAGUCAUUCAAGAAAUGAAGAGAAUUAAUUGAUUUAAAGAAGUCUGAUUCAAAGAAGCACACCAGUACCUGAGUGUGUGUGUCUG
rnacentral:lncRNA from 1 species